CGCGUCUCUUCCUAAAAGCGGACCCGGAGCGCGUUUUACCACCAAACCUCCAGCUCAAAGUUCUCGGCAACUUUUCAAACUUACCUCUAUAACCGCACGAGUGAAACAUGACUGAAUAAUCCGGUGAUCUGAACAGCAUCAGAGGAAUUAGUGCUAUAGUUUUCAACGGAAAUCCAUGGAUCUGAAGACGGCCCAAUGUAAACGCUUCAUGUGAACUGCCCUGUUUUGGGAAGGAAAUUCAGCAUGUUCGACAUGAAUUGGACUUUCAACGAGAGCAACUGGACCGCGGCAACAGCACCAACAGAUCCGCAGGUUCCACCCUGGUAUGUUACAACCAAAAUCCAGAUCACGCUGUACGCCAUCAUUUUCCUGCUGGCUGUUAUCGGAAACUCUUUGAUUAUUCUGACACUGGCCCAAAAUCGCCGCAUGCGAACCGUCACCAAUCUGUUCCUGCUGAAUUUGGCCGUUUCCGAUCUGCUUCUUGGUGUUCUGUGCAUGCCCUUUACCUUAACAGGGUACAUUUUACGGGACUUUGUCUUUGGCGAGGCCAUGUGCAAGUUGAUACCGUUUUUGCAAGGUAAGUAUGCGAAAAUA
rnacentral:lncRNA from 1 species